rnacentral:rRNA from 1 species
GAACUCGUCCAUAGCCAUUUCACUGCAUCGCUAGGAACUAGGCAGAACCGACCACACACUAUCGACUGGAGCUACAUCGACAUGCCUAGGGUUCAAGGUGGUGGCCUAGACAAUCCAUUCACCGAGCAGGAAGUGUGGCAGGCAAUCAAGCAAUCGCCGGUGGAGAAAUCACCAGGACCGGAUGGUUUCUCAGGUGUCUUCUUCAGAAGCUGCUGGCCAACCAUAAAAAGAGAUGUCAUGGAGGUGUUUCAUCAGUUCUAUCAUCUAGCCGGGGAUAAUUUCCACAUGCUAAACUCAGCUGCUAUAGUUCUUCUUCCUAAGAAAGAUGGCGCCGCUGCAAUCAACGACUACAGGCCGAUUAGUCUAGUGCACUCGGUUGCAAAAUUGAUCUCCAAAGUGCUCUCACUCCGCCUUGCGACGGUGAUCCAAAGUUUGGUCUCCCCGGCACAGACAACAUUCCUCAGGACAAAGUGCAUACAUGAUAGCUACCUAUAUGUGCAAAACGGUGUCAAGUCACUUCAUGCAAAGAAAACUCCGGCUCUACUACUCAAAUUAGACAUCUCC